rnacentral:misc_RNA from 1 species
UUUCCGUAGGUGAACCUGCGGAAGGAUCAUUACUGAGUGAGGGCCCCUCGGGGUCCAACCUCCCACCCGUGUUUAACGAACCUUGUUGCUUCGGCGGGCCCGCCUCACGGCCGCCGGGGGGCAUCUGCCCUCGGGCCCGCGCCCGCCGAAGCCACCUGUGAACGCUGUCUGAAGUAUGCAGUCUGAGACAAUUAUUAAAUUAAUUAAAACUUUCAACAACGGAUCUCUUGGUUCCG